AAAGAUGAAAAUUCUAGCAUAUGUCAAACCAACAUAAUCCAUAAUAUUGUUCACAAAGGCAGAAAGGGAUUUUCAAGUGUCCCAUGCAAGGAGAAAUCCCUACUAUAUUAGGAAAACAUAAUACUAAAAGAUAUGGAGAAUUAGAAGAUAAGUAUCGAUGUAUCUAUUAGCAAUCCUCAACAAACUGUGUUUGUACAACCUUGAGGAGAG
rnacentral:lncRNA from 1 species